AGGCAGAUUUCAAAGCAUCGGCUGAAACCAUGAAACUCAUUCUUUAGUGAACAGACUACCAGGUACAUAAUUCUCUGUGUCCCGAGGGAGUCAGAGCAGGGUCAAAAGAAUGACCCAUGGUGAACAAUGCCUUGAGGAACCAUGAGAGAGGCUCCAGGAAAAAGGCAGAAAUCCUUUUACCUCAGUCAUCAAUAGUCAAUGAGAAGCGAGCCGGCCUUUUUGGAAAUGCGUUGCUGCCAGCUUCAUCCUGAGACUUGCUCCAAUUAGUGGCUCCAAUGCUUCUUAGAGGCACCAGUCAGCUCCCCAUAUGAGGACAAAAAUUCUUCACGCAACUUGGUGGAGUCCUCAUGCCGUGGAAACCCUAACUAAGACAAAACCUUAUAUACUACAACCUGAAAACAUUGUUACAAAUGGCUACUGGGGGAAGGACAUUAAUUCCAGAAUCCUGAGCAGUAUGUGUUACUUCCGUCAUGCUGAACCGAUAAAAUCAGGUUUGUUUUCCAGUGUCUUCUUUUCCUUCCUUUUUCUCAGCAACACUAUUUUUUCUCAUGUCUUGAUAUUAUAGGGUGCAUUUAUCGGUAUAUUCAUUUUCUUUGUGUCUGUCUUCUCUAAUAGAGUAUAAACUAUAAGAGGGAAGGAUUUUGUCCAAUCAGUUAAAAAAAUCUGUUCCAUGUUUAGCAUGAUAUCUGAAAGUAAGAGUGGUAGCUUAACACAUUUUUUUGGUAACGU